GUCCUCGCUUCGACGGCUCAUAUACUAAAAUUGGAACGAUACAGAGAGUAUUAGCAUGGCCUGUGCAAGGAUGGCACACAAAUCCGUGAAGAGUUCCAUUUAAAA